UGUCAUGAUGUCCCUCGGGUCUGAGGUAGAGUGAAUGGGUACAGCAGAUAGAGGGGGAUCUCCAGGGGAAAAGAUGGUUGGGGGUUGAGACCAUGAAGACUGCUGAGGCCCCAGAGGGCUUAGCUCAAAAGGCUACCUUCUUGUGAUGCACGCCUUCAUUUUCACCCCGCGGAGACCCUGAGAUCUUUCCUGACACCCUCCAGCCUCAGUUCAUGCCGAUUCACCCUGGGCACUGCCAUCACUGUGUCUGACUGGGACCCAGUCACUUUGGAAUGUGACCGCUGGAGACUCUGCACCUUAAUGGGGUUCACUUGGGACUUGGGCAGCUCUCCUGUAUGAAGCCCACACUGCCAUGCUUAGACCAUCCUGCAAAGAGAGAGCCAGACUCUGAAGGCAGAGGUUCACCAUCUCCAGUGAGUGAUCCCAGACCAGCUAGUCCCAAGAAGCCCAGCAGCAAGCCAACAAUGCCCAUGUAUGCCAACUGGGAACAGAAAAGUUACCCAGCCAAGCCCAACCUGCUUGGUCAAUGUAAA